CCUACGGGAGGCUGCAGUAGGGAAUCUUCCACAAUGGGCGCAAGCCUGACGGAUCAACACCGCGUGAGUGAAGAAGGGUUUCGGCUCGUAAAGCUCUGUUGGUGGAGAAGAACGUGCGUGAGAGUAACUGUUCACGCAGCGACGGUAUCCAACCAGGAAGUCACGGCUAACUAGGUGCCAGCAGCCGCGGUAAUACGUAGGGGGCAAGCGUUAUCCGGAUUUAUUGGGCGUAAAGCGAGCGCAGGCGGUUGCUUAGGUCUGAUGUGAAAGCCUGCGGCUUAACCGAAGAAGUGCAUCGGAAACCGGGCAGCUUGAGUGCAGAAGAGGACAGUGGAACUCCAGGUGUAGCGGUGGAAUGCGUAGAUAUAUGGAGGAACACCAGUGGCGAAGGCGGCUGUCUGGUCUGCAACUGACGCUGAGGCUCGAAAGCAUGGGUAGCGAACAGGAUUAGAUACCCCUGUAGUC
rnacentral:rRNA from 1 species